rnacentral:rRNA from 1 species
GAUGAACGCUAGCGAUAGGCUUAACACAUGCAAGUCGAGGGGUAACGUGUUGGAAGCUUGCUUCCGAUGACGACGACCGGCGGAUGGGUGCGUAACGCGUAUGCAACUUGCCUCACAGUGGAGAAUAACCCGGAGAAAUCCGGACUAAUACUCCAUACACUCUUAAGUACGCCUGUACAUGAGAGGAAAGAUUUAUCGCUGUGAGAUAGGCAUGCGUCCUAUUAGGUAGUUGGUGAGGUAACGGCUCACCAAGCCGACGAUAGGUAGGGGUGCUGAGAGGCAGAGUCCCCACAUUGGGACUGAGACACGGCCCAAACUCCUACGGGAGGCAGCAGUGAGGAAUAUUGGUCAAUGGAGGAAACUCUGAACCAGCCAAGUCGCGUGAAGGAAGAAUGUCCUAAGGAUUGUAAACUUCUUUAGCGAGCGAGUAAGGACUUCCACGUGAUGGGAGUUUGAAAGUAGCUCGAGAAUAAGUAUCGGCUAACUCCGUG